rnacentral:rRNA from 1 species
GGAAUCUUGCGCAAUGGGCGAAAGCCUGACGCAGCCAUGCCGCGUGAAUGAUGAAGGUCUUAGGAUUGUAAAGUUCUUUAGCCUGUGACGAUGAUGACGGUAACAGGAGAAUAAGCCCCGGCUAACUUCGUGCCAGCAGCCGCGGUAAUACGAAGGGGGCUAGCGUUGUUCGGAAUUACUGGGCGUAAAGCGCGCGUAGGCGGUUUUACAAGCCAGAGGUGAAAUGCCUGAGCUCAACUUGGGAAUUGCCUUUGGAACUGUAUGACUUUGAGGACGAGAGAGGUGAGUGGAAUUCCCAGUGUAGAGGUGAAAUUCGUAGAUAUUGGGAAGAACACCGGUGGCGAAGGCGGCUCACUGGCUCGUUUCUGACGCUGCAGCGCGAAAGCGUGGGGAUCAAACAGGAUUAGAUACCCUGGUAGUCCACGCUGUAAACGAUGAGUGCUAGGCGUCGGCACGCUUGCGUGUCGGUGCCGCAGCUAACGCGUGAAGCACUCCGCCUGGGGAGUACGGUCGCAAGAUUAAAACUCAAAUGAAUUGACGG